CCUUCAUUCCCAAACCUGAAGCCCCCUGUCCCCAGCAGGAAAGACCAGGAAAAAGUGUUGGUUUAAGGUGCAGCAUCCUAUUGAGGAAAUUGUCUAUCUUUCAGAUCUGCCAACCAGGCACGGUGGGUAACAGGUAGGCUGUUCCAGGCCUGGAGUGGCACGCUAGAGCUUCCAGAGGCUUGUAGACCUGAAGCAGUGUGCUGUGGCUAAAUCUAUUAGCGCAAUCACAGUCCUCACAGCUGCAGUCGUCUGACCCUGCACCUGCUACACCGGCCACGACAGAUGAUACAGAUCUGCCACCCCCAGCAGUUCAGCUGCAGUCACAGUAGUCCUCUGCUGUGGUAUUUCAUUUACCGGCUGCACCAGUUCUUACUACACUGGCUGCGAAGGGAGAAACUUUUGAGGAUUCCCAGAUGGAUACAGAUCUGCCAUGCACUCCACCACUGCCCCUGAUAGCCUCUCCCAGAAGUGCAUACACCGGGUCUAUCACUAUUGACAAAGCAGAGAUAGGUGGCUGACAAGGAAAAAUAAAACAACAUCCCACACACACACACACAUUAUCCCCAAUGUAAAUACAUUGUAAUUACUUCAUUAUUUUAUUUUAGGAUUGGAGAUAUCUACACCUACAUAUUCAUUAUCAAUAACUACAUAAUUACUCUAAGAAUCUUUCCAAUCAGUGUGAUUGAUAAUAUUGUAAGAGUAUUGCUUAAUUUGUAGUUUGAGAAAAC
ensembl:lncRNA